AAAACUUUAGGCGCAAUUGCCCAAAUAAGCAAAUUGAAACCAGAUCCAAGUGAUUUGUCAUUCCCCCAACCCUCAAUUUGAAUCCGGCAGCCAAGUGAAAAUAGCAAACCCUUAAAUUUCCAUUCGAAGCAGAGCUAUAGCAGCUGGAGGCGGUGGCUGUUGGACCGUGUACUACCAGUGUGCGAAGUCAGGGAUGAUUCUCUGACCGACAAACUCCGAGGAUUGGACUUGGACUCUUGGAGGCGACUGGAGCUGUCAAAAAUUGUCGCCAAACAGGCUGAAGAAGGGAAGGAGUUGCUGACAGUUUGAGAAUGCUCUUAUACCAACUUGUAAAUUCAGAGUGUUUAUCGACGCUGUGAAAUGUUGAGAAGUCCAUAUAUUUUGUUGCAUAUUUCUGUUCAAAUCUGGGAUUGUGUGUUUUAUAGAAAUAGGAAAAGAACGCAGAGAAAACUGAUAUCUGGUAGGUACACUGAUCAUAUUUAGGAUCCAAACAGUUUUAAUGAGCAGUUACUUAUAACUUGUACAACAAUCUACAAACAUUUUUCUUAUAAA